rnacentral:rRNA from 1 species
UGGGGAAUAUUGGACAAUGGGCGAAAGCCUGAUCCAGCCAUGCCGCGUGUGUGAAGAAGGUCUUCGGAUUGUAAAGCACUUUAAGUUGGGAGGAAGGGCAGUAAGCGAAUACCUUGCUGUUUUGACGUUACCGACAGAAUAAGCACCGGCUAACUCUGUGCCAGCAGCCGCGGUAAUACAGAGGGUGCAAGCGUUAAUCGGAAUUACUGGGCGUAAAGCGCGCGUAGGUGGUUCGUUAAGUUGAAUGUGAAAGCCCCGGGCUCAACCUGGGAACUGCAUCCAAAACUGGCGAGCGAGAGUUGGGCAGAGGGUGGUGGAAUUUCCUGUGUAGCGGUGAAAUGCGUAGAUAUAGGAAAGCACACCAGUGGCGAAGGCGACCACCUGGGCUCAUACUGACACUGAGGUGCGAAAGCGUGGGGAGCAAACAGG